rnacentral:rRNA from 1 species
UACGUAGGUCCCGAGCGUUAUCCGGAUUUAUUGGGUUUAAAGGGUGCGUAGGCGGACGCUUAAGUCAGCGGUAAAAUUGCGGGGCUCAACCUCGUCGAGCCGUUGAAACUGGGUGCCUUGAGUGGGCGAGAAGUACGCGGAAUGCGUGGUGUAGCGGUGAAAUGCAUAGAUAUCACGCAGAACUCCGAUUGCGAAGGCAGCGUACCGGCGCCCUACUGACGCUGAAGCACGAAGGCGUGGGUAUCGAACAGG